AGGCUUGAGCCACCGCGCCCGGCCACAAGUUUUUCUUAAAACACUAACCUGCUCUUUAAAGAUUGAAAAAGUCUUUUGGUACAGGUACCACCCCCUAGAAUUUCCAGCACCAGCCUGAAGACUGUGACCUCAUCAAAGCAUGGAAAGAAGAAAAAAUUCAAGCCAGCCUAAGAAAGACCCUACAGGAACUGCAGCCUCAACAAUGCAGCUUCCGCAAACAACACAGGCCCCAGACAUCAUGCUGGAGAAGCAGAAGACUAAGCCAACUAAUUCAUUCAUUUUUAAUUCUCUCACUUUUCCUACUACCUAUACCUACUACACUCUAUUAAGCUCAUAUCUUAAAUCCGUCUUUCUUCGGCCCUGUUACUUUGACAAACAGCGCCUUCUCAGCUUCUAACAACAUAACUGCUUGGCUAAAAUAAUUAACAUACCCCCAGUGGGGUUCCUCAUUAAUAACAUAUAGUAAACUAAGAUGCCAAGUAACACUACAGGUCACUCUUUGACUGGGAAAAAAAAAAAUGUUGCUAACUAUACUCAUGUUUGUCUUCUGUUAUUUACUAAUCCUAGGAAGCAAAGCUGGAAUAAGAGCAGUGACCUCCUUGCCUGACAAACCUGUGGCUGCACAUACCUACGCUCUGCAAUCAAAAAACCCUAACACAGAAAACAAAAAACGGGGAGGUAUUGGGAUUCACUCAGGAUCGUGGCUGUAAUUACGUCUACAGGUGAGGAAGACGCCUCGGGAGAGAAGCCAGACACUGCAAGCAAGCCACGAUAGCAAUGGUGGUUAUUAAUAAAAAAAAAGGAGGGGGGCAAGUGCUGGUGGAAAUGUUUAUGGGGUGCCAGUUUAGUCAGUCGCCCUGAGUAGGACACCUCUGGAAAACCGUAGAGGUCCCUAAGGAUAAUCAUUUUCCUAAGCCAUUAAGUUCCCAGGUCAGACAGCAUGACCCGCUCUGGGCUGAAACACUCCCUUGAAGCACUGGAAUGUGACCAGACAUCCUGGCCCCUAUAAAACCAGCCCCCACCAGCUGCAGCCCGAUAAGUUAAUCUUCGUAGUUAGACAUACGCUUUUAGCUUAAAGGAAAUUCAUAUAACCGCCACUGCUAUAGAGCUUUCCAAUGACGUACGCUCCCCCUCCUUCACCGUUUCACCCCCUACCAGCUGCUUCUUAGAUCAAAAGAUUGUACUCAAUAAAUUGUCAGGCAACCAGA